AGUGAACGCUGGCGGUAGGCCUAACACAUGCAAGUCGAACGGCAGCACAGUAAGAGCUUGCUCUUACGGGUGGCGAGUGGCGGACGGGUGAGGAAUACAUCGGAAUCUACUUUUUCGUGGGGGAUAACGUAGGGAAACUUACGCUAAUACCGCAUACGACCUACGGGUGAAAGCAGGGGAUCUUCGGACCUUGCGCGAUUGAAUGAGCCGAUGUCGGAUUAGCUAGUUGGCGGGGUAAAGGCCCACCAAGGCGACGAUCCGUAGCUGGUCUGAGAGGAUGAUCAGCCACACUGGAAGUGAGACACGGUCCAGACUCCUACGGGAGGCAGCAGUGGGGAAUAUUGGACAAUGGGGGCAAGCCUGAUCCAGCCAUACCGCGUGGGUGAAGAAGGCCUUCGGGUUGUAAAGCCCUUUUGUUGGGAAAGAAAAGCAGCAGGUUAAUACCCCGCUGUUCUGACGGUACCAAAAGAAUAAGCACCGGCUAACUUCGUG
rnacentral:rRNA from 1 species